CCUUUGACAUNNNCGGAAUCNNNAAGAGAUUUGGGAGUGCUCGAAAGAGAACNNNNACACAGGUGCUGCAUGGCUGUCGUCAGCUCGUGUCGUGAGAUGUUGGGUUAAGUCCCGCAACGAGCGCAACCCUUGUCAUUAGUUGCUACGAAAGGGCACUCUAAUGAGACUGCCGGUGACAAACCGGAGGAAGGUGGGGAUGACGUCAAGUCCUCAUGGCCCUUAUAGGUGGGGCUACACACGUCAUACAAUGGCUGGUACNNNGGGUUGCCAACCCGCGAGGGGGAGCUAAUCCCAGAAAACCAGUCGUAGUCCGGAUCGCAGUCUGCAACUCGACUGCGUGAAGUCGGAAUCGCUAGUAAUCGCGGAUCANNNUGUCGCGGUGAAUACGUUCCCGGGUCUUGUACACACCGCCCGUCACACCAUGGGAGCGGGUUCUUCCAGAAGUA
rnacentral:rRNA from 1 species